rnacentral:lncRNA from 1 species
CUAAGCUUUGCUCCUCAGAUAGAGCACAUAUUCAAUCGACGUCCAAGGGAGAGAGGAAGAGGGACGACGGGAGGUAGGGUGGGGAGGCCUAGCUUCUUAUGCCAUCUCCCCAUCAUGGGGUUGGGGGAUCACAGCAGAAGAGAGACAAAAGGACACCCCAGCCUGCAAUCUGAAUAAAGUUGACCUGUGUAAUCAAGAGGAUAUUGCAGAAAUGACAGCAUACACGAGGCGAGGUCAUAGAAAACAUGGCAACUUCCUUCUGGAGGAAGCCAACUACCACUCCGUGAGGACACACAAGCAGCCCAAUGGAGAGGUCCAGGGGGUGAGGUACUGCAACCUCUGACCAACAGCUGGCACUGACUUGCCAGUGAUGAAUGAGCGAUGUUGGAAACAGAUCCUCCAGCCCCAGUCACACCUUCAGGUGACAGCAGCCCCGGCCAGUGUCUUGAACGCAACCUCAUGAGAGAUUCUAAGUUGUUCUCACAUUCCUGACUCACAAAAACUGUGUCACGUAAUAAAUGCCUAUUGUUGUUUUAAUCUGCU